rnacentral:rRNA from 1 species
AUUGAACGCUGGCGGCAGGCCUAACACAUGCAAGUCGAGCGAGCGGCGGACGGGUGAGUAAUGUAUGGGGACUGCCCGAUAGAGGGGGAUAACUACUGGAAACGGUGGCUAAUACCGCAUACUAUCGGAUAACCAAGAUGGGAUUAGCUAGUAGGGGGGGUAAAGGCUCACCUAGGAGACGAUCUCUAGCUGGUCUGAGAGGAUGAUCAGCCACACUGGGACUGAGACACGGCCCAGACUCCUACGGAGGCAGCAGUGGGGAAUAUUGCACAAUGGGCGCAAGCCUGAUGCAGCCAUGCCGCGUGUAUGAAGAAGGCCUUAGGGUUGUAAAGUACUUUUGGCAGAGAAGCGGUAUCUGCAGAAUAAGCACCGGCUAACUACGUGCCAGCAGCCGCGGUAAUAC